rnacentral:lncRNA from 1 species
UUCUUCUUCCAGAACAGUUCGCUGCCUGACAAUAGUUUAGUGGGUGGCAUUUUAUAAAAGUAAGUAAGGCUUAUUUAAAUGUGUUGAAAUGAAAUCAAUACUCCUUGUUUCUAAUUUCACAAUAGUAAAAUCAGAUGUCUUGGGAUUUUUAUACCACUAACUAAACAGCAAGUACAUUUUCAAUCAAGGCUUACUCUAAUGACAUUAGCAUAUGCAUACAUACUCUGAAUAACAAACAUAAAAGAUUUUGUUAAAAUAUAUUGAAUCUGUAAAGAUAUUUUAAAUAUUUUGUGGGCCAGUCUAUAUGAUUCUUAGAAUUAAUAUGCAAAAGCUGGACAAUGUAUGUAUAAGUUACAUAUGUACAAGAUAAUGUAUGUAUUUAAAAAAAACCCAAACUGUAUGCAUAAACUAUUAAUGAAAAUAUUGAAAGAAUUUUGAGGUAAAACACAUAGAGAAGAAGAUUAAUUAAGUUUUCAAAAUGGUAAAAUGUAUUUAAAGAAGAAACCUUUAAUAAUUUCUUUGUUUUCAGUAUGAUGCAGAAGAUAUUUGACUGCCUUUUUUCUGAUAUGAUUAAAAUAAAUACAUGUUUCCAUUUCCAGAAUCACCUAGAUAUUGUCAAAAUACUGAAUGCUUCAAAAUAAUAUAAAUUUUAUGCCACUAUUAAAAUGCUGAUUUACGUAUCAGCAUAAAACACAAAACAGUUAUCUGGAGUUGUGACUAUCAACUGCCACUGAGAAAAUAUUCUACACCGAUGAGAAAUUCUAAAUAGGGCACAUGUUGACUCCCUUGACAUCUUACUGUAUGAUUUAGAUCAGCAGCAAUCAGGGAAAGAUGUAUGGGAUGGCAGGUGAUUUGUAGGAUCUGAAGUAAUUUGGACAGUUCUUGAGUCAGCAAGCAGUAACCAUCAAUACAACUAAUCAAAUAAUGUAGUAUUUUUGUAGUAGCGGUAUUAUAUGUCAUAUGUGGUAGUAUUGUAUCACAAUAAAAGUAGUUCUUGUACAAGUUAGUGACUUUAAGUCCUAGAGUUGAGGUCAUGGACUCACAUUACAUGUUGUUUAUAUUCAAAUAAUUCUGCGUGAUUGAUCAUGCUUUUAUUUAUGUUCAGAAUAAAACACUUACAGGAGAUUUAGUUGAAGACUACAGAAGAGGUGGUCCUAAGUUAGUGGUUUCCAAAACUGACUAUCCAACUUUGAGUCUUCUCAGCAGUUUUUAUAGAUAUUUAUUUCCCAGCUCCUUCUUAAGCUCACUGACUCAAAAUAUCUGAAAGAGGGCUCUGGAGCCAAUAUUAAAAUAUGUAACAAAGAAAACUUCCCUACAAGAUUUGCACUCAUAGCCAAAUUUUAGAAACAUUAAGCUAGAAUGGACUUCCUUGCACAGUAUGUGUUUUCUAUCUUCAUUGCAUGCAGGCUUCUGUGUAUGAUGCAUACAAACAUGAGGGAGGGGACAUAUUAGAUUUAAAAUUAUUUCAAAUGCUUACUGGGAAAUAAUGAUGAUGAUUAACAUUGUUAUCAUCACCAUCUUUAUUUCAUAUUUUUAUUUUGUUCCUUUUAGCUUAAACAUCUGAUUUGUGGAAAUAUCCUAAAGUAUUUCCCAGCAGCAUUGCCCAGCUAAAAUGGAAUUGUGUAUAACUGUCAAAUGGGCUACAAAAACUAUUCUUUGAUGUUUCAUGUUUUAUUCAUUAUUUUACCAUAGCACUGUAUUUAUAAUCCCAUUCAUAGUGCUAAACUGAAGAAAGAAAGUAAUAGCUGGAAAAUCAUUAUUUUUGAAAAAAAUAGUGAAAGGGUUAGGGAAGGGUCAAAAUCAUUUAAGAUUUUAGAUAUUAAAAACAAUUACUCCUAUAUGAAAAAGUAUGGAUAUUGUUGUAGAUUUGCUUCUGCCAUUCUAAGUUUAUAAUUCAUUCAUUUUGUUCUGAUUAUAAUAUUGAUUAAAGUUAUUUAAUUAUUAAUAGUUACUUUUGUACUUAAAACGUUACACAGUUAAAUGGUAAAAUUUGCCUUUUUAAGACAAGUAUGUUAAAUUAUCUGACCAAAAAAAAUCCUGUAUUAUUAAAAAUGAGGCUAAUACCAGAAUUCUAACUAUAACAGAAAAUGCUCAUAAAUGAGCAUGGGUAAGUGCUCUGAAUUGUAUGUUAAGUUUGUACCCACACUCUUGCCCUUGAACCAGUUUGUAAUUAAUCACAUUCAUCUGGCAUGAAUUCACAAGCUGCUCACCUCUUCAGAAGGUGGUACGUUAGCUUGUACAAUCGGGCCAAAUCAAAAGUGAUACAAGAAUCAUCCAAAUUCUGAUAUUUCAGAGGAGAUACUAGGAAUCAUGUAUCUAUAUUCAAAGUUCUAUAUUCAAAGUUGAUGCUGCCAGAAAAUCUACUGAGUCCUCCUCUCCACAUUUUUUUAGACUUAAUCUGGUUCAUACAUCUCCUCACUCUGCAGUCAGAUUGCCCUCUCACCCUCAGCAGGACCCCACAUCCCACAUUACUGGCAAAGUGAAGAGGAUUCAAGAUGGCAACAGUGCUCAAAGGGAAGGAAGAUAAUUAAAAUGGAAGACAGAGCCAUCAAAAACCAUGUGGAGGAAAGUCACUACAUGAGCCUAGACUGAAAGAAUGUACACAGGCAGAUAUAAAUGCCUAUUUCAUUUAACGUAUUUUGCUUAGGAUCUCCUUGUUAUAAAACCUUGGCUUUUGGUCAAAUAACACAGACCAGUAAGAAAUGAGGUUGGAAGAUGGGAAUAUUUAGGAGCAGUAGGAAUGAAUGCAGGCCACAAUGUUGCACUUAUUAUGGUAAUUAAAUAACCAGGAGAGAAGUAACUAAUGAGAGAGAGUGAGCAGAAGGCUUAGAUCCAACUAAAUCAAUGGGUAAGAUUUUCCACUAUACAAUAUAUUUUUUGUAAAUGUUAAUGGGAAUUUUCCUUCUAACAUUUGAAUAACUGUUCUAGAAACUAUGAAAUAAUUACUUACAACUGGCUCAUAUACCUUAUUUUUCAAAAUUGCCACAUUAACUUAUUGGAAGUUUCACCUCCUUUUAAAUCAUGAAAAAUACGCAGUUGCAACACAGACUUAAUCAUGGGUUGAACGAAUAUAUUCUCCUAGCUUUUUCUCAUUACUGAGCUGCAGAGAGGAAAACUUCUUGGCAGACUGAUACUUCUCAACAUAGUUUUUACAAUUCCUGAAUGCCCUAAUUCUGAGGUAGAACGUGAAUUGGAUGCCUGGCUGUGAGUUUAUAUGAACGCCAGCACGGCUGACUGCAGGGUUUCUCUGCAUGUCUCCUUUGCUUGUUCUCUCAGGACUUGUCUUCCAGUAACUAUGUGAAUAGAAGAGGCAAUUUCACUAAAUAAAAUAUUAUCACUCAUUUCACCCAGUUCUAGAAUCAGAGUAAACUUGGAACAUUAUUUAAAUGGACUAAAAUGUUCAUUGUCUGAUGCUGUGAGUUGCUUUUAACAGGAAUGUUUAUAAGACAGUUUUUAUUAAUGCCAUUUCUUUAUUCAAUAAGGCUCUCCUGACACCAGUUCUUGAACUAUAAAUGUGUUUGGAUUCCCAGAGGUUUUUACACUCUACUAACAUUUAUGAUUUGUGAGAGGUAAGCCUUUCUUUUGUAAGUUGGAAAAAAAGACUGUUUGUGAAGGGGAGAGGAGAAUGGCCAUAACUGCAAUCAUCUCUCUAGCAGAUUAGUUUCAGGAACUAGUACAUGUUGAAGUAGAGGAUUUAAAGACUAUCCAUGAUUAAAUGUCUCUUUGCAAGAUACCCGUUCCCUGAGGGGCAUGCAUCAUGCACAGGAAAACCACAGGAUCUGCGAAAUGCAAGAUGACCCAACUUCCAACAGUGUUAAUCAAUGGAGUAGUCAUGAAUUACUAUGUACUCAAUUAAACUUUGUUGCAAAAAUCAUGAUCUUUAAAGCCUUUUUCCAUUCUGUCUGUAUAUUCUGUCUUUUAAUGUAACACUUUAUGUUUUAUCCAUAUAAUUUUCCCUUCAUCAGAGAUAUACUUCCCUUGCUAUCUUGACUUGAAUGCUCAUUUCAUUCAUUGCCAGUUUCAAUGGCAUGGGAAAAUGCUAAAUGUAAGUAUUAUUGGAUAUACACAAACACACACACACACACACACACACACACACACUUUGAUCAUUGGUAUGUUUUGGCUUGCUUUAUUUCUUGCUGUGUUCUGGAUAAUCCAAGGGAUCCUCUUUUAGGUAGCCUAGCAACAAUCUGACUUAGCAGAAAGGGAUGCAAAGUCUUUGAUGUGAUAACUACCUCGGAAAGUGGUGAUCAACAACAGGAUAAAUGUGUCCAGGCACACAAGAAUCUAGAGCACGGUCCCCAACGCCUGGGCCACAGACCAGUAAUGAUCCAUGAUCUGUUAGAAACCUGGCCACACAACAAGACGUUAGCAGCAGGCAAGCAAGCAAAGCUUUAUCGGUAUUUACAGCCACUCUGCAUCGCCUGCAUUACCACCUGAGCUCUGCCUCCUGUCAGAUCAGUGGUGGCAUUAGAUUCUCUCAGGAGCACGAACCCUAUAGUGAACUGCACAUGCAAGGGAUCUCAGUGGCACACUCCCUAUGACAGUCUAAUGCCUGAUGAUCUGUCACUGUCUCCCAUCACUCCCAGAUGGGACCACCUAGUUGCAGAAAAACAAGCUCAUGGCUCCCACUGAUACUACAUUAUGGGGAGUUAUGUAAUUAUUUUAUUAUAUAUUGCAAUGUAAUAAUAAUAGAAAUAAAGUGCACAAUAAAUGGAAUGCUCUCGAGUCAUUCCGAAACCAUCUCUGCUCCUAUUGGCGGAAAUACUGUCUUCCACGAAACCGGUUCCUGGUGCCAAAAAGGUUGGGGAUUGCUGAUCUAGAAGAUGGCUAUGAUAAUGAAGGCGACUGGUUUUUUCAACUUUCUUUCUGAGAAGAGGCACCCAACCAGCCACAAGGAUUGUUAAGAACAAGAAAUAAAGACAUUAUACUUUGGGUGGAUUUGCUACCAUCACUUUUCUUAUCAUAAGCAAAACAAGAAAUAUUCCUUUGCUUCUGCAUCUGCAUCAAUAUUCUUCUGUUUUGUGUGUAAGCACAAUUAAAAGCAGUAUGCACUCUCUAUAUAAAAUAUUCUCAUAAUAUUUUACAGUAUUUUUUUUAUUAUGAUCCUUCUCAUACCAAUAAAACUGGAAAAUAAUGGAGUAAACAUUCAGUUCAACCUUUAAGGGGUGGUGAAGGAGAAAACUGUGCUACAGAAUAUUGGAUGUUAACAAUAUAGAAGAAUAGGAGAUUGAUGAAAUAAAUUAGAAUAUAAAGGUAGAAUUGAUCAAUAAAUUUUAGAUUAUUAUCUUUGAAAAGAAAAUUGAACACACUCAAACUCAUAGCCCCUUACCUCAGUUUCAUCCCUAAGGCUGCCCAAUUCAAUCCUGUGGUUUGAGAUGCAGCAGGCAUACCUGCUAGGGUGAAGAAUUCUUUCCAACUAGUAUCUGAGCGCAAGUAGUCUUAAGAUCUCGUAUUUCUAUACAUGACACUAUUUCCCAAAAUUAUCCUCCAAAGUACAGUCUUGCCAUAGGAAAGCCUGAAAUAAUGGUUUGCAUCAGAAGAAAUCUCCAGGAAGCCUGAAAUAAUGGUUUUCAUCAGAAGAAAUCUCCAGAGACCUCUCCAUACAGUGCCCACAGAAGAGGAGAUAGCUGUUUCCAGUUUGGGGUUAUUAUAAAUAAAGCUGCUAUGAAUAUUUAUGUUAAAUUUUGUGGGAACAUGUGGUUUCACUUUUCAGGGAUAGAUGUCAUAAGAGUGCAAUUGUUGCAUUGCAUGAAAAGCACUUGUUUGUUUGGAUUUUUUAAGAAAAAUCAUAUGAUUUUCCAGAGUGGCUGAAUUGUUUUUCAUCCCUACCACCAAUGUAUGCGCAAUCCAGUUGCUCUGCGUCAUUACCAAUAUUUGGUUUUAUCACUAGUUCUUAUGUAACCAUUCUGAUAGGUAUGUUGUUUUAGAGAAGAAAUCAUCACUUAAGAAUGAUUUUGUGAAAGAAGGAUCUGAAUCAUGUAAGCUUCAGAGAUCUGUGUAUUAACUACAGCUGGGCUUGGUAUGCUGUAUCAGCUUGCUUCCUUUAUCAAGCCUUAUGAUGCUAUUUAAUUUCCAAAGUUCCUUUUGAGCAGGCUUGUCUAUGUCUUUUCCUUGUUAUCCUGAGAUUCCAGGGAGGACUGUGUGUGUGUGUGUGUGUGUGUACACAUGCAUAUGUGCACAUGCACACACAUACAUGUGUGCACUUGUGUGGGCCAUAGAUUAUGCACUCCUGAUAGUACAAGAAUGGUGAUGUUAUGGAUACAUUCUGGCUUAAAGUACAAAAUCACCUUUACUUAUUUUUCUCACUUUUUAAAAAUUUUUUGCCAAGUCUUAUGUAUCUAAUUUUCUUGAUGUCUAUUAACAUGUUUCUUCCCUUGCGUCUUCAGUCACUGACAUAAGUUAGAUUCUUAUUUUUCUUACUGCACUAUUGCUUCUUAUUCUUCCUGUUUUAUUCAAUGUUUUGAUCAAUUCAUGAAUGCCUACUGUACCUUGAAUCAUAUCACACACAUAUCUAUAAGCUUCCAAUAAUAUUUGUUUUCUGCAUAGUUAAGUAAAAGUAAUUUCCCUUUGGAAUAUUCUUUAAUGUCACUAUUUUGUCUUAAAAUCCUCAUACUGACUUUUCUCUCCACAUUGUGCUCUCAGCUUGGAUUACUUACUUCUACGGAAGCACUCCACUGCUUUCCUAUCUGAACGCUUUCACUUACCUGUUCCUUUCUGAACGAUUUUACUCUAUAUCUUCCUAUGAAAUCCUGCCAGUUCUCAAAGUCCUUUGCUAAUGCCAAUUUUAUUUCUAAAUUCCAGUAACAUCUUAUCUAUAUAUUUUUAAACCCUAUACUAUUAUGUUUUUCACUUAUCUUACAGCUCCAAUGAGCUCCUUGAGAACAGAGGUAGAUUACACCCCAUGUUGUGUCCCACCUGUAUUAUUCUGCUCAGGCUGCCACAACAAAAACCACAGACUUGGGGCCUUACACAACAGAAAUUUGUUUCUCACAGUUCUGGGAUCUGGGAAGUCCGAGACCAAGGUGCUGGCCAAUUAGGUACCUUGUACAGCCUCUUUUCCUGGCCUGUGGACAGCAGCCUUCUUGCUGUGUCCUCAUACGGUGGGGACAGAGCAAACAACCUUCCUGCUGUGUCUUCUUGUAAGGGCACUACAGUCCCAUCAUGAUGGGCCCAUCCAUCCUCAUGACCUAAUCUAAACCUAAUUACCUCCCAAAGGCCUGAACCCCAGUUAUUAUCACACUGAGGAUUAGGCUUCCACAUAUGAAUUCAGGAUUGGGGAGCACAAUUCAGUUCAUACCACAAUGUGUUAUUGAACACAGUGCUUUGAACUGUGCUUUGAACACAGAAACUACAUAAUAAUUUCUCAAUAAAUACUUGUCAAACUGACUUGUAAUAGAAACCCUUUCAAAAGACAAAUGAGAGAAAUGGUGGUAAUAAAAAUUAUCUUGAUUUCCAGUUCCCUUCUAUAGCAGCUACACACACACACAGAGAGAGAGAGAGAGAGAGAGAGAGAGCGCAAGAGAGCUAAAGAUAUAAAAGAAACUGAGCAAACAAUUCUCACAUCAAGGAUUCUCGAGUAGAAAUCAGCCCAGCAUUAAACUAAACAGGUAAAGAGAGGAUACUGACAUAACAAUUUUUUUAAAUCACAUUUGAAUUCACAAUAUUGUGUGGAUUCACUUAAUGAUUUCUUUAGAAAGAUUAACUACUUGGAAAGAUUACUAUAAUAAAAAUAUGCUUAUAAGUGAAAAGCAGGAGAAGUUAACUAUUUUGCAAAACAAUUGUUAUUGAAUCUAUGUAGAUAAGCUCAACUUUAUCUGCUCUGGCAAAAUGCAGUGCUGACUUAAGUAACUGUAAGUAUACCAAUGUUUAGACUAUUUAGUAUCCAAAAGCUUUUUC